ACUCCUACGGGAGGCAGCAGUGGGGAAUAUUGCACAAUGGGCGCAAGCCUGAUGCAGCCAUGCCGCGUGUGUGAAGAAGGCCUUCGGGUUGUAAAGCACUUUCUAGUCGUGAGGAAGGUAGUGUAGUUAAUAGCUGCAGUAUUUGUACGUUAGCGACAGAAGAAGCACCGGCUAACUCCGUGCCAGCAGCCGCGGUAAUACGGAGGGUGCGAGCGUUAAUCGGAAUUACUGGGCGUAAAGCGCAUGCAGGUGGUUUGUUAAGUCAGAUGUGAAAGCCCGGGGCUCAACCUCGGAAUAGCAUUUGAAACUGGCAGACUAGAGUACUGUAGAGGGGGUAGAA
rnacentral:rRNA from 1 species